rnacentral:rRNA from 1 species
UACGUAGGGUGCGAGCGUUGCCCGGAUUUAUUGGGCGUAAAGGGCGCGCAGGCGGCUACGCACGUCCGUUGUGAAAUCGCUCGGCUCAACUGGGCGGGGUCGGCGGAUACGGCGUAGCUGGAGCAAGCUAGGGGGCAAUGGAAUUCCCGGUGUAGUGGUGGAAUGCGUAGAGAUCGGGAAGAACAUCAGUGGCGAAGGCGGCAUGCUGGGCUGUUGCUGACGCUGAGGCGCGACAGCGUGGGGAGCAAACAGG